AGACCUCUAAUCGGAAAAGACCACCCGCUGA
rnacentral:rRNA from 1 species